CCUACGGGAGGCAGCAGUGGGGAAUAUUGGGCAAUGGGCGCAAGCCUGACCCAGCAACGCCGCGUGAAGGAAGAAGGCUUUCGGGUUGUAAACUUCUUUUAAGAGGGAAGAGCAGAAGACGGUACCUCUUGAAUAAGCCACGGCUAACUACGUGCCAGCAGCCGCGGUAAUACGUAGGUGGCAAGCGUUGUCCGGAUUUACUGGGUGUAAAGGGCGUGCAACCGGGAAGACAAGUCAGAUGUGAAAUCCCGGGGCUCAACCUCGGAACUGCAUUUGAAACUGUUUUUCUUGAGUACCGGAGAGGUCAUCGGAAUUCCUGGUGUAGCGGUGAAAUGCGUAGAUAUAAGGAAGAACACCAGUGGCGAAGGCGGAUGACUGGACGGCAACUGACGGUGAGGCGCGAAAGCGUGGGGAGCAAACAGGAUUAGAUACCCCAGUAGUC
rnacentral:rRNA from 1 species